rnacentral:rRNA from 1 species
UGCCAGACUCCUACGGGAGGCAGCAGUGGGGAAUAUUGCACAAUGGGGGAAACCCUGAUGCAGCGACGCCGCGUGGGUGAAGAAGCGCCUCGGCGCGUAAAGCCCUGUCAGCAGGGAAGAAAAUGACGGUACCUGAAGAAGAAGCCCCGGCUAACUACGUGCCAGCAGCCGCGGUAAUACGUAGGGGGCAAGCGUUAUCCGGAUUUACUGGGUGUAAAGGGAGCGUAGACGGCAUGGCAAGUCUGAAGUGAAAGCCCGGGGCUCAACCGCGGGACUGCUUUGGAAACUGUUAAGCUGGAGUGCAGGAGAGGUAAGUGGAAUUCCUAGUGUAGCGGUGAAAUGCGUAGAUAUUAGGAGGAACACCAGUGGCGAAGGCGGCUUACUGGACUGUAACUGACGUUGAGGCUCGAAAGCGUGGGGAGCAAACAGGAUUAGAUACCCCCGUA